rnacentral:rRNA from 1 species
AUUUACGUCCCCUGCCCUUUGUACACACCGCCCGUCGCUACUACCGAUUGAUGGCUCAGUGAGGCGUCCGGACUGGCCCAGAGAGGCGGGCAACUGCCACUCAGGGCCGGAAAGCUCUCCAAACUCGGUCAUUUAGAGGAAGUAAAAGUCGUAACAAGGUCUCCGUUGGUGAACCAGCGGAGGGAUCAUUA